UACAGAGGGUGCGAGCGUUAAUCGGAAUUACUGGGCGUAAAGCGUGCGUAGGCGGUUGGUUAAGUCUGCUGUGAAAGCCCUGGGCUCAACCUGGGAACUGCAGUGGAUACUGGCCAGCUAGAGUGUGAUAGAGGAUGGUGGAAUUCCCGGUGUAGCGGUGAAAUGCGUAGAGAUCGGGAGGAACACCAGUGGCGAAGGCGGCCAUCUGGAUCAACACUGACGCUGAGGCACGAAAGCGUGGGGAGCAAACAGG
rnacentral:rRNA from 1 species